GAUGAACGCUGGCGGCGUGCCUAAUACAUGCAAGUCGAGCGAACAGACGAGGAGCUUGCUCCUCUGACGUUAGCGGCGGACGGGUGAGUAACACGUGGAUAACCUACCUAUAAGACUGGGAUAACUUCGGGAAACCGGAGCUAAUACCGGAUAAUAUAUUGAACCGCAUGGUUCAAUAGUGAAAGACGGUUUUGCUGUCACUUAUACAUGGAUCCGCGCCGCAUUAGCUAGUUGGUAAGGUAACGGCUUACCAAGGCGACGAUGCGUAGCCGACCUGGGAGGGUGAUCGGCCACACUGGAACGGAGACACGGUCCAGACUCCGACGGGAGGCAGCAGUAGGGAAUCUUCCGCAAUGGGCGAAAGCCUGACGGAGCAACGCCGCGUGAGUGAUGAAGGUCUUCGGAUCGUAAAACUCUGUUAUUAGGGAAGAACAAAUGUGUAAGUAACUAUGCACGUCUUGACGGUACCUAAUCAGAAAGCCACGGCUAACUACGUG
rnacentral:rRNA from 1 species